GCUUCAGUGGUUUAAUGGUAAAAUUCAUCGUUGCCAUCAUUUCCCUAACCUGGAGAGUACAAGCUCGAUGAGCCCCGUGUUCGAUUCACGGCUGAUGCA